CCAUAUCCGCAACCCACUCCAAUUAGGACCACCAGCAGCCCAAACAAAUUAACCGACACGGCUCGUUUCGUCUACCCUUUUCCCCUUUAGCGUACAACAACAUACGCACAAACAACAACAACAAAACCCGAUCCAAGCUUUCAGCAAACAAUACGCACAACAGCAGAACACAGACGCAAAAACACGACCAAAUCCGGCGAAAAUCCAUCAACCCACGUCCGACCCGACCUCAAUCUGUUACUCGCGUGCAUCAGGCGCCUCUACCACACGAAUCCAUGCGAAAAAAGCCUAGAAACUUCCGAAAAUUGGUGCGUUGUCCCUUUCAAUGUUUGAAUCCCGAGUUUUUCGGGUUGAUUUGUACGGUUUCGUGCAAUAUCUGGAUGAUUUUCAUUGGUUUGGGGUACAAUUCGUUGAUUUUCAUUGACCUCGACCCGAUCCCCAAUCUGACCCGCUUGCCCAAACCAGUUGCCUCCAUGUUGAGUAAUAUUUUCAUUGCAUAACUCGUGUCUGGUUUGUCGGUUUGAGUUGCCAAUUGAUGAUCCUGAGUACGAGAAUAGGGAGAGGGAGAAUGAUGGGAACGCGAGUGGUGGUACUUCGGGUUCUGGUUCUGGAAGGAGGUUUGCUACCGUGUCGCUGCCGUGGCUAUUUGGGAUGUUUGGAUCAGCUUCAUCCUCUAGCCAGGGAGGAGGAUCAGGGUCUCGUGGACAACGGGACAGGGAAUCGAAUUAGCCGGGGGUCUAUUGGAAACAGCCUUGCUACUUCUCCGGACGAGUAAAAUGUAAACUGCUAUGGAUCCGUUCAAGUACAAUUGGAACACAUCAAACGAAAGUGCAAUGAGUUUUCAACAGGAGCCUGAACAGAAUGAGUUUGAAAGAUAGGAACAAGAAAUAUUAGCUGCUUUAAGUGCAUUAAUUGUGGAAGGAGGAUGAAAAAGGAAUUGGACUUGCUGUUAAAAUAUGUUUACAAGAAAUCGUGUUCAAAUGAUGAAUGCUUAUCUCAAGAAGACAACCAAGCUUAUGAGGAUGAAAGUGAUGAUGACUUUGACGGCGUGAAUGAAAGUGAUUCUAAUUCUGAUAACGUGGAUCAAAGUGAUUCUGAUCCUGAUGAUUGAUAGUUUUGUUGAGGAUUCAAGUUUGAAAUAUUUUGUUUUGGACAAUUGAAGAAUCAUACAUUAUUGAUGUGGAUGUUUUGAAUUAUGUUCUUUUGUUAGCUGUAAUGGUUUACAUUAAACUUGUAUUGAAUGAUGUUUUUGAGAAUUAUUGAAGGUUUUGAAUAGAUUUUUGAUUAAUUGUGAAACAUUUCUAGUAA